GUGUCUGAGCUAUCAGAUAAAUAAUAAACAAUUAAUUAAACAUAACCGCGGUGACGUGCGUGUGUGUGAGCGUAACUAUGCCUAUUUCGGCAUCGAAUUCGCAUCAAGUCGAAGUUGUUGGCUUAGAUGCAGCGGUCUUGGCAGCCUGCACCUGUGAUGGCAUUUCUUGCACCAACGUUUUCAGCUGUGUGGCUGAUGCAGUGAGUGGCAAUGGCGUACACGAAAACGAUCAGUUUUAGCGAAUAAAUAAAUAAAGACAACUACUAGAGGAGCGUUGCGUGCGGGUGAGACGGGGACAAGGAGCGAAACGCGCAAGAUCCGUUUUCUUCGUGCUUUUUUCAGUUUGUUCACGGAAAGGAGUGAAAAGAAACGAAGUGGAAGUGUUAAGAGAGAGCAAAAGUGUGUGCAAUGCAAAGAAAGGCUGAUGAUGUGUUAUAUAAAAUAUUAAUACGAAAUGAAGGCCAAGAAUUUUAAAAGUGUUUAAAAUGCAGCGAAAAAAUCAAUGUAUGCGGUUUUAGACGGACGGACGGAAGGCACAGCACCAGCCCCAGUACCAGCACAUGAAAGGCACAAGGAAGAGAGGAAGCAGCAACAAAGCACAGCACAGCUGAGCAGAGGCUUCGUGUGUGUGCGUUCCUGUGUGUUUAUAUUUGUGUGGGCUGUGUGUGGGAGGCAGCAACAGCAGCAGCGCCGCACCAAAGCAGCAAAUCAAAUCAAUAUCUGCAACCAAAAUAAACUGCAAUCAUGUCUAAAUAAGGCAACAAAUUAUAAUUAGCAACAACUGCAACACCAGCAUUUUACAUCAAAGUGUGGAAAUUGUGCAUUCUGCCUUUGCCCGAUCUUCUUGUUUAAAAAAAGCGCGCCUCAGAGCCACAGACAGACACACACAGAUUUCUCCCCAAUCAGCUGAUGUGCUUGUGUGUGUGUUGCAGACAAAGAAACUGCUAAAGCCAAAAGAGACAGAGAGGGGGCGCAGCAAUGUUCGCGUUGGCUUGGCUCUCCUGUAUCCUUGCUUUCAUUUCCAUUUCCUUUUUGCGCAGCCCCCAAAAGAACAAAGGAAAUCGUAUUAAAACAGUUGACAGUUUGUCCCCGCAAGUGAGUGUGAGUGUGAGUGUGUCUGUGUGUGUGUGUGUGUGUUUGGGUGAGAGAGGUUCGCUCAUCCAUAUUGAUUUAAUAUUCGCAUUGAUUUGCUUAAAAUAAAUAAAUAAAUACAAUGCGAACUAUUAAAGCAUUCCAAAGAUCUUUUCAGUGUAGACUUUACAGUUUACUGUUUUCUGCCCUCUCUCUCUCUUUCUAUCCAUGUAACGCAGGCAGCCAUGUUAGAUCUUUGGAUCAACGGAACACUGCUGAAAGGAGGAGAUCAGAAAGAAAAGAGAGAGCAUGUUUCACAUUUGCUUACUCUCUUGCGGAAAUUAUCCUGUUGUCGCGCUGUUAAAUCACUUUUGUUAGACCCAUCCAGAAAGGGUAUUAUGCAUUUUUCCAGAGAAGAAGCUUUGCCUAAUUUGACAGCAGCGGCCACAAUAAUACUUGAGCACAGUUGCUGUCGCUUAUUCUGUCCUAUGAACGUGCUAGGGGACUAGCUUUCAAUUUAACGAAUGCCCGCAUCUGCCGCAUUCUGUAUCAAUCAGCUAGGUUCCCAUCAUUAUAUCCCCCCCAAUUGUCAUGUAGAACACGUAGCAGACAGCACUGCAUGCGGUACAGCACACAUCUGUGUGUACUUUCAACCUUGUUUUACUAUGUACAAUAUGUACCUUAAAGUAAAUGCAAACAUAAUAAAAUACACAUAAGGUUUUCCCUACUGGGAGGCCACUGCCCCCACCUCUCCUUGCGAUUGCCUCCGUUUGCCUUUUUUAUGGUUUUCCAUUCAGUUAAUGAAGCCAUAAGUAUAGUCAACCGUUCAGCACUUCUCAAACAGUUCUUCGGGCUUAAUUAUCUGCGAUAACGAGAAACCGAACCGAAGCGAACCGAACCGCAAGGGAGCCUUAUCUUCGGAGUCACUGAAACGCACAGUGACGGUUAUGCGGGGAGAGUCGGGUCUCGAGAUAAGCAAACAAUCAAAAGCCAGAAAGCCUAUCAGAAGCUGCGCCCCUUAUGGUGACUAUUCCAGAUUCGGGUUUCAGUUCCGAGUGCAGUGCCUGACGACAAUUCAGGGUCAUAAAUUACUUGGUGGCUGAUAAAGAAUCAGGAACUCUUAUGUACUUCUUGUUUCGUUAACAGAGUGUCAAUGAUCGUAUCCUGGGGUUCUUUGCGGGGGGCAAUGUGUGGCGGACAGCCAGCCACUUGACGCAUUCCAUCGGCGGACUUUGCUACGCCUUAUAUUUUCAAAUUUCACUCUCGCAAAACGUGAUGAAUGUGGGAGGAGAUACGGGGGUGGGGGUGUUGGUGAGAGUGGGAGAGAGUGGCAACGCUCAGUGACCCCAUCGACGCUGCUGCCGUUGACGUUUCCCGUUCUCCUUCCCGUUGUUGUUGUUGUUGCUUCUGUUCUUAUGGUACUCCUCCACCUCCGCGUCGCUCUCCUUAUUGCGUUUUACUUUACGUUAUUUUGUUGCUGGGUUGAAUGACUUUGAACAACGUGUGCGAGCAAGAAGAAAACAUCAAAAUGAAGAGCGUAACUGUGAGAGUGCUAGAGAGAGAGAGAGUGAGAGAGAGUCGACCAGCCCACCAAAAAAAUAUUCGCAGCUGAUUUUGGGUGAGAAGAGAGUUAGCAAAAUGUCGAUGGUUACAGGAGAGGAGGCGCCAUGGGAUAGCGGAAGGAGAUGUAGAUGUCUCGCCUGUUGUUCCCCCGCCAUCACCCCUUAACUGCUGUUUUUCUUUUUGUUUAGAAUUUCAUUUUGAUCCGAGGGUUGUUUACCCUGUAGAAGGAUACAUAUAUCAUAUCCUUGGUAGGGUGGGGAGGGGGGGACUGGUAUGUACUGUGUGUUUUGGUUUUGAUGGAAUUUGCGUUUCUUUUAUCGCUUCAAUCAGGCAACAAAUUAAAAUAUGUAUACACACAUUUCUCUAACUCGUUAACAAAGCAAAGCUCUUUGUUUAGAUGUGUUUCUGUUAAUAUUUUUUCUUCUUCUUUUGUUGUUUUUUUUUUUCGUGUUCAGCAUUUACAAAAAUAAACAUCAUGUAGUCAUCGCAUGGUCUUAAAGGUGUGGUAAGUCUUAAAGACUAGUCUUUGUUGUAGCCAGAGACGCGUCGUCGUCGGCCGUGUAUCCUUCGGCUUGGGUUACUCAAGUUCGUUCCGCAGACAAGUGGCGAGAGUCCAUAUGCACCCGUAGGUGCCCAGCAAACCAACUAACGUGCCUUUUGCGAGAGUUCCGCAAAAUGCUCGCAAACGAGCUCGCAAGCGAGAUUGUGUACGAGCGAUAUGGUUUUGUGUCGCAAAACGCUCGCAAACGAGCUCGCAAGCGAGCCAAAAAUGAGCUCUACUUCUUGUGUCGCAAAACGCUCGCGAGCGGGAGUUUUACAAUAGGAAAGUGCGCUUCGACUGCGCUGCCGGUCGAAAGCCAAAAAAAAAGCAAGCCUUCGUGUGCCUUCGGUCCGGCAAUUCUCCUUCGGCUUUGUGUUCACGUCUCGACAGAUGACGUGUCGACAGAUUAGUGGUCGAAAAGUCAUUUGUGUUUUUCUUUUUUUUACAUGUGUCGAGCAUUAGAAACAAGUGCAAAUAAAGCGUGCGUUCCUUGCGCCGUCAUUUCAAUUAUUUUCGCCGAACUGUGCAGUGCUAAGUUAAAAAUCUCUACCAUCUCUUAUGCAUUUAAAAGAAAUUUCUGCCAAUCGAUGCAUUUAAACAGAAGUUUGCGCUCGACGAUCAGGAUUUCGACCAUACAACUCAAAAAUAUUUCCAGUAUGCUCAGGAACGGAAGGCCAGAUUGGAAAAAAGUGAUGCAAAAAAACUUAAAUUUUAGUACAUAGUUCAUACAUAUUACAUAUAUACAUUAAAUUCAUUUCAUAUUACAAUUUAAAAAUAUUUUUUAUUACGGAACAAAAUGGGAACGGGUCAAAAAAAACUCUCGCAAAAACUAAUUCUUGCGAGCCUUUUGCGACAUCGUUUGCGAGCCUUUUGCGAUAUCAUUUAUGAUAGCUCGCAAAGGAAUCAUUUGUGAGCCUUUUGCGAUAUCAUUUAUGAGUCUUUUUUGAUACUGCUAUGGGCUCGAAAAAAAUAUUUCUUUUGAUAUUAUUUUAUAUCAAAAACGACUCAUAAAUGAUAUCGCAAAAGGCUCACAAAGGGCACACGCCCAUGCGGCACCACAACGGACCUUCUACAGGUCCAAGUGAGCUUGGGUGGGUUUCAUCACUCCCCCAGGCUACCGCCUGAACCUAACCUAACCUAAGGCUCACAAAUGAUAUCGCAAAAGGCUCAUAAAUGAUAUCGCAAAAGGCUCGCAAACGAUUCCUUUGCGAGCUAUCAUAAAUGAUACUUUCACUGCCACAAACUGAACGACACAAGUAUCAUAUUUCUAUCAUAUGCGGGUCCGAAUGCGAGCGUUUUGUCGGGUUAAGUCUCGCAUUUGACUCGUAUGCGAUAUCAUUUGUGAGCGUUUGGUUUUCUGGGUGGUUGUGGAUGUGUCUGCGUCUGGGUCUUGGUCUGUUUUUGUCCGCGAUUGUGUGUGCGCAUUGAUUUGGUCUUGAGAAAAGAAAAAAAAAGAGCAAUAGGAACGAGAUAUUCAACAAUAUUCGUCUAAGAUACAAAGAAACCACUUUGAGCAGAUUUAUUCUUAUCAUCAACACAUACUGCCACAUGCAGAGAGACCUGUGACGACGUAUCAAGUACAAAUCAUAUCAGCAUAUCACUGUUCCGAGUGUGUGUGUGUGUUUGUGUGGGUGCUGCUGAUAAGAUGUCGCAUCCCUGCAGUACCAGAUGUGAGCGAUGACGAAUGUCAUUUACAAUGUCAUCUAGGCGUUGACGCCAGCCAAAUCGAACCCUUUGUUUUUCCUUUUCUUUCUUUCUUUUCCGCGCGUGCCGAACGUAAUUCGGUUCUGCCGACCGUGCGCAGUAGCAGAGAACUUCGUUUUAUCUUUUCGUCUCCUUUACGCCUGCGUCGACAGAACUCUUUUGCUUUGAUCUUUGCUAUUUGCAAGCGUCAAAUAAAGUUUUAAUAAGUGAAAUAAAGUAAUCUGUGAUUAUUAUUAAUAUCAGUGGCGGUGAAGAUGAAAAUACCCAACGAGCCAGCAGAUAAAGUGAUUAGGAAGGCUAUUCACAAUAUUAAGAAUAGCUAUUUUCAAAAGGGCGCAAGGGACAAAAAAUACAAAGCAUCCUUAGACAAUAAUUAACAAUAGUUUUUAAUAAAUAAAACUAAUUGGAAAAAUAAACAAUUGAAUGUAUUACUUUUUUAUAUUAAAUGGAUGAUUUUUCGUGAAAAAUCAUCGCUUAUUAAGUGCAUGAUUUUUUCGCAAUGCUCGAUGACAAUGUCAUCGAUUAUGCCCUAGGACAUCUCCAUGUUAAAGUAAACAGCUCAGCGUAUGGCCGGUCAUCAACUACAUAUGUCAUCGGGGGUAGUGAAGCGGUCAUCGACGUGUCAGCAGCUAAGUCAUCGAUGACCCGUACUGCAGGGAUCGUUUGGUUUGCAAGGUCCAGAGAGAAUAGCACACACAUAUAGGGGGAGAGCGAGAGAGAGAGGCAGAGAGACAAAGAGAGCAGCAGCUUAAGCAAACAUAAACUGAAACUGUAAAUGCUGUUGCUUUUGUCUGGGUCGCGACGUCUUUUGGGGUCUGUCUGGCCAACUGCUGACUGUCUUUGGGUUUUGGAUUAUACUUACACACACA